UGAGCUAAAGAUACCUUUACUUUGGCUUAAGAUAGAUUUAUAAAUUUACAGGUUAUAUUUAUAGUUAAGUUACUGAAGGCGGUUCUGGAGUAGGGAAGGUUUCCAGGAAUAUUCCUACGGCCCGCUGUGCCCACUCACCCGGCAGGGAGACGGCAAGGCUCAGAUCCAGAGGUCAUGUCACAAUGUGAGUGUGUCCUGCAGGGCCUGGCACCAGAAGCAGUGUGGGCGGGGAGGAGAAACAAGAUUCCAAACGGCACCAGAAGAGACUAGUCAGCAGCUAGGCUGCAGAAAAUUGUUCAGUCGCCAAACUGGUACAAUCAUAGGCACACGUAAAACUGAUUAAGUGGUCAAGACAUUUACGCCCUUCCAGAAUAUGAGACCGUCAAAGAAGAUGCACCCCAAAUGCAGAUUUAGAGGGAUUUCAGACGUGUGUCAAGCCAGUAAUGAGAAGAAAAAUGCACGAUGAGCCUAGGGAAAGCAGACACCCAGCUUCUCCGAGCCCUCUUGCUGGGCCGAAGUGGGAGGACCCGGCAGCACACAAAGCAGGAAAGAGAAGACCCAGGCCUGUUCUCAACUAAAGAUCCGGGACUAUUUCCCUUUCUCCCUCCCUGGAAGCCUUCGGAAUCGGCUCUUCUCCACUUAUAAAAAAUGGAAACUAAAAAUGACAUUUGAGAAUUUAAAAUUUAAA